rnacentral:piRNA from 1 species
UUACUUGUUUGUUGAAAGACU